GUCUUUCCUUGCUUUUUCUAAGUCAUCUUCUCUCUGAAUCAUCGUCAAAUUAGCUGCCUUUUUCUGUUAGAUUCUUUCAUUUUCUGUGUUUUGUGUUGGAGUUUGGAUAGUUCUUUGUUUAAAUGAUACUCUCUCUAGGAACCCUUUUCUUGUAAGAAUGUAAAAAUUAUUGAUAGGUGAUAAAAAUCAAGUCUUGUAUGAAUGGGAUUUUCUGAUUUGGUUAAAUGUUGAGUUGCUUCUGUUGUUUCCAAAUUUGUAUCUUUCUGGUCGAAUUCUGGAACUGACAAACCAAAAAUAGUAAAGGAAAGGGAGAAGUAGAGAGGCAGAAUAAAGAACUUUUUUUGAUUUAUAUUGUUUUCUGAACCCUAGAAUAGUAGUAGGAAUGUUCGAGGUUUCCUUUUUCAUUCUUCUUUUGUGAUGAAUGUACUGUAUUUUAAGUGAUGAUUACUAUUCUACCUUGUCUGAUGCUUAAAAGCAGUUCUGUUUGAGUUUUAUGACUUAUAGCUGAUUCCGUUUCUUUGUGCCAUGUACUCUGCUUCUUUUGCCAAAUAUGGCCACUCUGACGCCUAAAGAUUCGGGAGUGUAGGUGUCGCGGAAAGACUAUCUUUUUAUUCAUACUCUGAUUGCAUUGAAGGCCACUAUCUGCAAUAAUGUCUGGCGGGGAGGGGAGAAAACUAUCGAAUCAAGAUAUACAACUGGUGAAAAAUCGUAUUGAACAGUGUCUUCAGCAAUACAUGAAUAAAAAGGAAGUCAUUAACGACCUCAUCGUUCAGGGCAACGUUGAGCCGUGUAUUACUGAAUUGGUUUGGCAGAGACUUGAAGAUGAAAAUCAAGAUUUUUUCAAGGCUUAUUAUCUCAAGUUGUUGGUGAAGGAGCAAAUAAUGGAAUUCAACCGGUUGCUUUCUGAACAGGUGGAUCUGAUGCGUAGAACUGGUUUAAAUGGGAUUGCUCCUUACCUUCCAUCUAAUGGAUCACAUGUUUCACCAACACAGCAUAUCUCGACUACCUGCCCUACACAAAAUGUCCGACCCGUGAAAACAGAGAACAUGCAGCAGGAAAAUGUGUUUAACAACUGUGUAUCAGCAAUUCAACCAUGUCUGCAAGGAGCUAUUAACGGGCCUGGUCAGAGUAGAAAGAUUGAUGUUUCUCCAAACUUACUACUGUCUCAAAACUUAGAUAUGGGGCUGUCUCAGAUGCUAAACGGGAAAAGUGUGAAGACAGGAGCCGGUUAUGCUGGUAGCUCGCCUUUUGCUUUUAGUCCACCUAGCAAUUUUCUGGAAUCACGUCCUCUGAUGGGUGAUGCAUCUGUGUCAUCUUUCAGUAGUGUAGAUUCUAACGCACAGCAUCUUAAUGAGACUCUCAUGGAUGGUGACACUUCCUCCUUCGAAUUUUUGGCACAAAUCCCGCAAAGUUUCUCUGAGUUGCCAGCUGAUUUCACCACCAACUCGGGUCUGAUAUCUCUCUCUCUCUCCACACACAGAGACACACUCACACUAACAUCAAAAUCUUGAGUUCUUAGAGCUAAAACUGAGUUGAUUUACUGGAGAGUUACUGUGGUCCUCCCUUCCUACCAUCAGAUGCCAACAACUUUGCGAAUCCCCACGGGGAUGCUGAGAAUUUGGACCCUGAAUCCGAUAGUCUGAGAUUUCACUGCUUUGGUAGUGAGUGACUG